AAAUAAAUAAAUAAAUAAAUAAAUAAUAAAUAAAUUAUCAAAGCUUCCAACAAUGAUUUCCUUAACAGUAAAGUCUCUGAGAUGAAUUUCACUUUGCUAGAAAAUCCGUAUAUUUUUACUAAAGUAAAGAGUAAGUACAUAUAUGACUUCGCUAUGUGCACAUGUGUGAAUAACUUUAAUUAAAAUUUACGAAUUUCAUAUUAAUUCAGAGAAAGAUGAGCUUAUUACGUCCGCGAUUUUUGAUGAAAUUCUGUUCGUGCAACCA